ensembl:lincRNA
CACAUGGACCCACUGGUCAAGCGGGCUCGGCAAGGCCAGGAUGAAGAGAAGCUACGAACUUAGCAUUCCCAGAGCCCCCCGAGUGGAUAUCCGCGUGGAAAGGAUGUUGGCAGCCCCGGUGACCUCGGAGUCACGGCUGGAUCCACCCUCUUGUCUGAUUUUCUUAACUCUACUACGGUAAGAAGAUGCCCUCCAUCAGCAGGCCGUGUCUGCUGGGACCUCUCUGGAGACUUCCUGAACCCUGUGGAUUUACAGUAAGAUGCAGUUUCCUGGGGAGUAAUUCUGGUGGAUACAAAUUCCGGAGUAUUACACCUGGCUUGCCUGGAGAUGUUACAAGUAGCUGGAUGGAUUCUUCAGCCUGGAUGCCCACUGAAAACAAGGACCGAAACUGAGAGGAUUGUAUCUCUACCCUUGACUCAAUGAGAAUGUUUGUUGUCAUCUCUCGGGCUACCUGGAGCUCCCUCUAAAAUAGAGCCGAGUUCUGUCACCACAGACAUUGGCAGUGGCACUUGCAUGCCCCUGGCAAGCAGUCUAUCCUGAGGUGGAGGAAGUUGCCCUUGAGUUCUGGCUGGUAACCAGCACAGAUGAGAAGCGUUGACUUAAGAGAUGCCAAGUAGCUCAGCAGAUGUCACACAGACGAUAAAUAGCAAAGAUGGAAGUCUUCAUGCCGGAGGCAAUCCUAUAAGACAGUUGAGUUCUGCAGAGCUGGUAGGAGACAGACUUGCUCAGGUGAUAGAUCCAGCCAUGAUACUGACCCUAAGAGAAUGAGACGCUCUGCAGAAGACAGAAGAUUCCUGAAACUGGGAAAGGUGCCUAGAAAUCCUGAGAAGAGUGAAGAAGCCAUGGAUCCCUACCUGGGUGAUAUAAAACAAAAUAAAACAAGAAUGAAGAAAUCUGGAAACAAAGCUAAGAAGUAGUUCGUGAGUCUAAGAGUUGCAACUGAUUUCUUAGACAUGACAAAGAAGAGAAGAUGACAGGCUACUUAAAUGGAAGGAACUUAAAUGAAUUGUCAAGUCUGCAGAGAUGGCUUGGAAGUUACAAGUGCUUGCUGCUGUUGCAUAGGACCAACUUGUGGUAGCACAUUAAGGAUGGAGCCUAGGGUGAAGUAGAAUCCCACUUUCUCUGCUUGGUAAGGAAAAGCAUGGCACUCAACGGUGAGAUGAUCAUUUACAAACAACAGUGGAUACAUUGAAUGUGGGCCCUACGGUGAUAACCUGAUGAGAGUUCAGUGAAAUGAUGAGGGCCCCACCAACGCUCACCACUGCACUUCAUAAUGCCUUGGACAUUUUGACUUUCUGAAUAGUCAGGGCUGGUCUUCCAUUUGAGUCUACCAAGCGAGAGGAUUCCCUGAGACACUUUGCAAGCCUCCCUGCUGUGAAAGAAGAGGACUAUGUUUGGAAGGCUUCAGACUACACUCAACAGUGAGUGAUGGGCAGAGGUGGCUGUGUGCUUUGUCCCAUUAUGUAAAGAAGACACAACCUUUCAGUUAUCUUCCACAGUUUCACAGCUGUGACUUACUGAAGACCAAAUCUGGCCAUGCUACUCUAUGCCUAACAUCUUCAGGAUCAAGACCCAGCUCUAGAGUAAUUUUGUCCACAGUCAUGCCUUUCCCCCACUUCUCUCUCCGCACUGCCACAACUGUCAACUUGAUACAAGCUAAAAUUAUCAGUAAAGAAGAAACCUCAAUUGAGAAAACUCUCCCUACCAGAUUGGCCUGUGGAGCAAUUUCUUGGUUGAAGACUGAUGUUGGAGGACCCAUCCCACAAUGAUUCUGCCGUCCAUGGGCCAGUGGUCCUGAUUCUUGUUACAAAGCCAACUGAGCAAGCUACAAGAAGCAAGUCUUAGAAAGGAUUCUGCUUCAGUUCCUGCUUUCACGAACCUUCCAUGCUUGUUUUCCUGCCCAGACUUCCCUCAGUGAUGGAUCUUUAUCUAGAAGUCUAGUCUGAAAUAAGCUUUUGCUCAGUGUUAUAUUACAGCAGUGGAAACUCUAAGAUUCCACAUAUGUAUUGGUCAGGAUCUGGCAGAGCCUCUUAGGAGACAGUUGUAUCAGGCUCCUGACAGCAAGCAUCGGACUGAGCAUGGGGACCCCAUGGAGGAGUUAGAUGAAAGGCUGAAGGAGCUGAAGGGACCUUAUCUGGCAUCAAUGGGAGGAGAGGCCCUUGGUCCUGAGAAGGCCCCUUGGUCCUGUGAAGGCCUGAUGCUCCAGUGUAGAGGAAUGGUAGAGCAGUUAGGCAGAAAUGGGUGGGUGGGAGAGCAUACUCAUAGAAGCAGGGUAAGGGAGGAUGGGAUAGGGGGUUUGCAGAGGGGAAACUGGGAAAGGGGAUAACAUUUGAACUGUAAAAAAAAAUCCAAUUAAAAAAAUAAAUGGUAUUUAUCAGGCUCUGGUAGAGUCUCUCAAGAGACAGCUAUAUCAGGCUCCUGUCAGCAAGUACUUGCUGGCAUCCACAAUAGUGUCAGGGUUUGGUAGCUGUAUAUGGAUGGAUCCCCAGGUGGGACAGUCAAUGGAUGACCUUUCCUUCAGUUUCUGCUCCAAACUUUCACUCUGUAUGUCCUCUCAUGGGUAUUUUGAUUCUUCUUCUAUGAAGGACUUAUGUAUCCACACUGUGGUCUUCCUUCUUCUUGAGCUUCAGGUGGUCUGUGAACUGUAUCUUGGGUAUUCCGAGCUUCUGGGCUAAUAUCCACUUAUCAGUGAGUGCAUGCCAUGUGUGUUCUUUUGUGAUUGGGUUACCUCAGUCAGGAUGAUUGGACUGAACAAGGGUCCCCCAAUGGAGGAACUAGAGAAAGGACCUAAGGAGCUGAAGGGGUUUGCAUCCCCAUAUUAGGAAAAACAAUAUGAACUAACCAGUACCCACAGAGCUCUCAGGGACUAAACCACCAACCAAAGAGUACACAAGGAGGGACUCAAGGCUUCAGCUGCUUAUGUAGCAAAGGAUGACCUUGUGGGACAUCAAUGAGAGGAGAGGCCCUUGGCCUUGUGAAGGUUUGAUGCCCCAGUGUAGGGGAAUGCCAAGACAGGGAAGCAGGAGUGGGUGGGUUAAUGAGCAGGGGGAGGAUGGAUGGGAUAGGGAGGGUUUAGGUGGGGAAAUGAGGAAAGGGGAUAAAAUUUGAAAUGUAAAUAAACAAAAUAUCUAAUAAAAAUGAAAAAAUAAAAUAAAUUGUAUAUAAUAAGAAUAAAAAAACCUACCUUAGCUGCCUUUGAUGUUGCUUCUCUUUACGUACACAACCCUAAGAUUCAUUGUAUUGGGACCUCCAUGCCAACGUGUUCUACAUUUAAGAAUUUAAACACCUCAGAAUAAAGAAAAAUUUACAUGUCU